GCUCUGACGCGGAAGAAAUACUGCAACUCAUCCGCAAACAUUACAAGGAAUGUUGAAUAAAGCUAUGUCUACUACUGAAGUUACAAAGCAUUUGGUGGAUUUGGGGCAGAAAGCAAAUUUUACUUUUAUGAAAAAAGCUAAUCGUCUGAUCCCUCGUGAUAAGGCAUUACGGGUGAUUACGAGGCUAGUGGCGAGAUAACAGAGAGUGCUGAACAGAAACGAAAUAGAACUGAAACAGAAGAAACUUACGACUAUUCAGUGUCGAGUACGUCGCAGGAUGUAUUAUUCAAUGUCGAACAAAUUAUAUCAGACAUUAUUGAAGAUUUAUGCGGACAGGAUACAAUAAGAGGGAGAUAAAUCACCAAACAAUACAUAAUUACAAAUAAUUAUUAUUCGUUAUAUAAAUAAAUAAAAUUAAGAAAAUAAUUUUAUUGUAUUUUUGUCUGAACAGGCAUAUUAAUAAUAACUGUUUUAAAUAUAUGAUCGAGAAAGCUAAAAAUAUGUUUAUAAGAUUUGACACCAGUUAAAUAUAAAUUACACACUUGGCAAAGGAAGAGGUUAUUACUUUCCGGUUAAUGAAGAGUAUAACUUUGGUU